UUGGUUAUUUAUAAAAUCCACUUAUAUUGUUAAAAUCAUUCCAUAAAUAUUUAUAACAAUUGCACAACCAGGCAUACAACACUUUAACGCCGUAUCUAUCAGCUACCGUGUCAUUACAGCCCGGGUACACUGGCCGGUAAUUAACAUUGCAACCACACACUGCACAGCAAAUCAUAGCCCUUGGUGUACGAUGCACCUACAUAGUCACACCGAGGUGCAGAGUCUAUUGACCAGACAUCGAUUGUUUCCGAGCUGAUUGCUCUAUUCGAGUGGCUCAACAAUUAAAUGAAAUUAUUCCAUCGCCACUCAUCAUCAGCCCAAUCAGAUCAACGUCAAACCAUCUCCAUCCGCACACUCCUGACUGCUCCUCCUGAGGGGACCAGAAUACGAUCACCAUGAUUGCUGAUUGCGGUCGUCCCGAAGAUGACCGGGUGGAGUGUCUACAAGUUGUAUAAUAUUGUCAUUUUCUAACCGAAGAAAGAUGGAUGUAGAUUGACCCUUGCGAGGGCACCUUCACUCUCGCCCAUUUAGGAUCGGACGGUGCUGGCGGCCCUGGGAGCGGCGUUUGUACUGAGGCUGGUGUCGUUUUUGCUGUGUGGCAAGGCGACCCAAGAUUCAUCUCGGGUUCAUCUUAACUGCGCAUUAAACCUGCGGUACACUCUCGGCGUGGGCGGCUGUCAAUGCAAAAUUGUUUUAAAUUACCGGUGUCAUUCGCUCGGCCGCACGGAACACACGGCUCAAAUUCUGCGCCACAAAACGUGGCUCCGUUGCUAGAGCGACGCGACCGACCGGAAACUCGCGCGUCACACAACGCUCGUCAUAUCGUCCGGCCGACGUCAGCGGAGCGGUGUGGCAGGCUUAGAUUGCAAUCUAAUUACACCAAAGUGUCUGGGAGGCAUGUGUGGCGCGUGUGUAUUGCUGUGUCUGGUGGGAAAUGAACCCAACAGUAUCGCCGUAUCGUAUCACACGCUGGGUGGGUGUGUAACAGUAGUCGCAAGUGGAGGAGCGCGUAAAAAUCCCCAGGAAGGGGUGAAAAAUCCCAGAAUCGUAGAAUUUACCUGGGGUAUACCUUUCCUGGCAUCUUCUAAGCUAUACAGUUCAAGUGUUGGUUUGUCUGAAUUUAUGCAACAGAGUGAUAAAACUAUUCUUUUUUGAGGACGGUCCAUUUAAAAGUACUUAAUUAAGGUAUACGACCAUUCAAUUUAAUUCAAUUUGUUUCUUUUGAUUUUUGAUAGUAUCUGCGCACUUCGCAUUGAAAGUCACAUGUGUUGGACGUAAAACCGUGAAUGAAAUGUGCUCUCUGCUCGGCGUCCCAUAUGGAACAAAGCAAAAAACAAUGCCUGAUAACAGUUUGCCAAUCAAUAACAGAUUUCUUAUCACCAGCCAAACCUGCUGACACAGUGAGUAAAAUUAGAUUACGGCUCGCAAAAUGAUCACACCACCAUCUGGCACCAUCACAAAGUAAAGUAAAUAAACCUUUGUUAUCUUAAUACUACGCAAACAGUUUUAAACCAAUCAUGAAUCGACAAAUCCAUAAGCUAAACGUGUAAAAGACGUAAAACGAACAAAAACAAAAUAAAAUAAAAAUGAAACGUAUCAACAAAGAAAUGUAAAUAAUAAACAAUAAAAAAUAACAGCAAAUGCUAAAGAUAUCGAACAAAGAAAAGGGUGGCACUACAAAAAAUAACAAAACAUCACAAAUCAUAUCUAAUCAACUUAUCGCACGAACGAGCCCUAAAAAGGAAGGAAAAGAUUACAAUCUGGUGAACGGAGGGAUGACAUAUCUCGAACAGGUGACGUAGAAAGGUAUCGAACAUUCUAUCAAGUUCCAGAGCGAUCUGAUAAAACGUUUCAGAUAGUGCAAACAGCACGAAGAUUAUCAACCAGUCCUGCUACCAUUCGCACAUUGCGCUUAGCAACAAUAGUUGCGCUAUCUUUGGACAGCUUUCGAGAUUACAGAUCAUUCCUACUGAGCAACUUGAGCAACUACUGGAACGGUUUGCACUGGAUUGCAUAAAAUAAUAGGCAAAAGAGAAGGUAUCCCCUCGGUGCCAUGCAGUUAGACCGUCGUAGUCGUCCCUAUUCCCCCGUAAGUGUCAAUCCUGGGUGACAUUUUUGCUGCUCCAUUCGGUGUGACAGUGAAUCAGAGUCCCACCAGCCGAUGUCGUGUCCACAGAGCGGGGCGGGAACACAGGAAAACAACGGCCGAGAGUACCGUCAGCCAACCUAAUUACACUCCCGUAAGUACGGUAAAAAUCGGUACUAACGAACCGUUGAGGGUUUGCCACCCAGACGCACCCUCGGAUAGUAGUAAUAGUACAUGAAGGCUCCUCUCCCCGUUUCUCUCGCUCACACACUCUAGACACCUCGCUCCAGCUGACUCGAUUAUGUCUCUGCUGUGCUGUGCUUGGCAGACGUGCAGCGAAACCGAUUGCCAAACCCGGGCCUCUUCCCCGGGUGAAAGAGCCAUUCGAACGGGUUCGCAAGCAAAAAAAAUCACAAGCAAGAGCAGAACACACAGACCGGCAGACCCUCCAGGAGAGCAAGUUCCGUUCACCAGCGAUGAAGAACAGUUAAAACAGGCCUCUCGCCCGUCCUAACAGUUCUUGGUGUUCCGUGUUCCGCGCCAGGCCUAGACGACACCAGGAGAGGACGACUAGGCGCAAUUACCCGCAAACUCCGACACAACCUCUCCCCCGUUCUGAACUGCCACAGACAGUCCCGGGGUACUCUACGGGCAAAACGAAAUGUCAAACAAUGGAUACCGAAAGCCGGCCGGAGAGCGUGUGCUUAGUUGCUGCUGCUGCUGCUCCCAUUAUGGGUGUUCGCGAUGCAGUUGAAGAAAAUGGUUGACUGUCUUUCUGUACACAUCCAGUGCCCUCUGAUUCCCUCCCUCCCGCUCACUCUUCACUGUGACGGGCGCGCAUUUUGUUCGCUGACUGGUUUUGUUUCACCAGUCGCCACGGCAAUCAACGCGUCAAAGUGAGGUCUGUUGCGAAAAUAGGAGGAAAAAGUGCUACGUCUGUGCGAAGCGGAGCGGAAAGGGGAGCUGAUGGAGUCAGCGGUUUGCUGCCCUGGAUCGCCUUGGACCAUUUCGCGGCUAAAGGUUCAACCGGAUGGCUCGCCCUCAACUUCAAGCGUCGCCAGUGUGGUGUGUGGUUGGCGUAUCAGAACGAGGGGGAGUCAUGAUUAUUAAAGCCUGAACAUUGGACUCGUUUUGAAUGUAUACUAUCAACUUUGGAAGUCGCUUGAUUUCUGUACAAAGAACUUUUAAAUACUUUGACGUGCCUUUAAUCAACACAGUCUAAAGUCUGGAAAUAAAACAUUUAAACACAACA